UUGACCUCAAAUCAGGUGGGACUACCCGCUGAACUUAAGCAUAUCAAUAAGCGGAGGAAAAGAAACUAACAAGGAUUCCCUUAGUAACUGCGAGUGAAGUGGGAAGAGCUCAAAUUUGAAAUCUGGCAGUCUCUGGCUGUCCGAGUUGUAAUCUAGAGAAGUGUUGCCCGCGCCGGACCGUGUACAAGUCUCCUGGGAUGGAGCGUCAUAGAGGGUGAGAAUCCCGUCUCUGACAUGGACUACCAGGGCUUUUGUGGUGCGCUCUCAAAGAGUCGAGUUGUUUGGGAAUGCAGCUCAAAAUGGGUGGUAAAUUCCAUCUAAAGCUAAAUAUUGGCGAGAGACCGAUAGUGAACAAGUACCGUGAGGGAAAGAUGAAAAGAACUUUGGAAAGAGAGUUAAACAGUACGUGAAAUUGCUGAAAGGGNAACGCUUGAAGUCAGUCGCGUUGGCCAGGGAUCAGCCUUGCUUCUUAGUGUGGUGUACUUCCUGGUUGGCGGGUC
rnacentral:rRNA from 1 species